AUCUGAACGUCAAUUUUCAUGAUUAUUUCACGACGAAGAUCAUCACAUCAAUGAAUCAAUUAAUACGGACAUGCCUUUGAUAUUAGCAGGGUGCUGGCACCAUAUGCAACAAUACUUUCAUCUGUGAAUACCCACGCGCUAUGCCCACCAUGAACUACGAAGGCCAGUUAAUAUGUAAAGACACCACUGAACAGACACUUUUCAAUUAUCGUACAUCAUAUACAUGGGUGGUCAAACUCACUGGAUGGUUUAUCAACACUCCCAUGCUCACGAACAGCCUUGCCCCAAGAAUUUUGCCCUGAAGUAACAUUGCAGUCUAUUGUCUCCUUUCUUUUCACAACCCUGGCAGCCAUGCAGGAUAGAAGCUGAUCACUUGUACUCGACAGCAAAUAAUAAUAUCUUGGACAAGUCAAAGAAUUUCCUCCAGUCUUACAGAGAAAUGACAGUUGAUAAAAGAAUGGUGGACACA